UGGCUCAGGAUGAACGCUGGCGGCGUGCCUAACACAUGCAAGUCGAGCGAUUCUCUUCGGAGAAGAGCGGCGGACGGGUGAGUAACGCGUGGGUAACCUGCCCUGUACACACGGAUAACAUACCGAAAGGUAUGCUAAUACGAGAUAAUAUACUUUUAUCGCAUGGUAGAAGUAUCAAAGCUUUUGCGGUACAGGAUGGACCCGCGUCUGAUUAGCUAGUUGGUAAGGUAACGGCUUACCAAGGCGACGAUCAGUAGCCGACCUGAGAGGGUGAUCGGCCACAUUGGAACUGAGACACGGUCCAAACUCCUACGGGAGGCAGCAGUGGGGAAUAUUGCACAAUGGGCGAAAGCCUGAUGCAGCAACGCCGCGUGAGCGAUGAAGGCCUUCGGGUCGUAAAGCUCUGUCCUCAAGGAAGAUAAUGACGGUACUUGAGGAGGAAGCCCCGGCUAACUACGUGCCAGCAGCCGCGGUAAUACGUAGGGGGCUAGCGUUAUCCGGAAUUACUGGGCGUAAAGGGUGCGUAGGUGGUUUCUUAAGUCAGAGGUGAAAGGCUACGGCUCAACCGUAGUAAGCCUUUGAAACUGGGAAACUUGAGUGCAGGAGAGGAGAGUGGAAUUCCUAGUGUAGCGGUGAAAUGCGUAGAUAUUAGGAGGAACACCAGUUGCGAAGGCGGCUCUCUGGACUGUAACUGACACUGAGGCACGAAAGCGUGGGGAGCAAACAGGAUUAGAUACCCUGGUAGUCCACGCCGUAAACGAUGAGUACUAGCUGUCGGAGGUUACCCCCUUCGGUGGCGCAGCUAACGCAUUAAGUACUCCGCCUGGGAAGUACGCUCGCAAGAGUGAAACUCAAAGGAAUUGACG
rnacentral:rRNA from 1 species